rnacentral:rRNA from 1 species
UAACCUGCCCAAGAGACUGGGAUAACACCUGGAAACAGAUGCUAAUACCGGAUAACAACACUAGACGCAUGUCUAGAGUUUAAAAGAUGGUUCUGCUAUCACUCUUGGAUGGACCUGCGGUGCAUUAGCUAGUUGGUAAGGUAACGGCUUACCAAGGCAAUGAUGCAUAGCCGAGUUGAGAGACUGAUCGGCCACAUUGGGACUGAGCACGGCCCAAACUCCUACGGGAGGCAGCAG